UUCCCUUCCCGCAUUUUUGGUGCUCGCAUGCGCGUUCUCGCUCAUGCAGUUGAACGGGAAACAGAGCGCGGAAUCCGUCACGGAUCGGCCAACCUGUGCUGUCCCCGCAACGGUAAGCGACCGCAACGCAAGUUGCAAGUCAUUCCAGGCGCGUUUUUUCGGUGCCGGAGCGUGUGACGCCAUCGCGCGCGCAUGAAACUCCGGCCCUGCAAGAGCGCGACCACGUCACUGCGCACGAUGCGCGGGAAGGCGGAACGAUGUGUCGCCAGCCCGGAUACUGGCCAAUCGUCCAGCGUGUUC
rnacentral:ncRNA from 2 species